rnacentral:lncRNA from 1 species
CAGGGCUGAGGAGAUACCUGUUCUCCCAGUUUCACGGCCAGUACAAGGCCAUUCUUACACUGCUCGGGGGAGCCCCUCAGGAGAAGACACAUUUAAGAGUUUCCAGCAAGAAGAGUCAGGUCAUGCAGUCAGCUGCUUUCUCAGCCCAGCUGUGGGAAUGUAAACAAGUUUCUAACCUCAUUGAAUCUUAGGUUCCCUGUUUGGAAACAGAUGAGAUCCACAACAGCCAUUAUCUUAUUGGAUGGUUGUUGUAUGGCAGGGGCUGUACUGAAGAGUCACACACAUUACUUAGUCUUCCCAACAAUCCUGCAAGAUAUAGAACCUUGACAUGUUUCUCAGGCUGGUCUGAAACUCCUGGGGCUCAAGCGAUCCACCUGCCUCCACCUCUCAAAGUGCUGAGAUUACAGAAAAUGAAAGGAAUUGAAAUUAAGACAAGGGAGAGAUUGAAGAGUGGAAAGGAGAAAGUGGUUGAGGAACAGUGAGAGAAGUUGGAGAAGAAAGUAAGAAGAGGCCGCUUACCUGAUUUAAAAUUGAUGGCAAACCAGGAAAACAGAGCUCAGUACAGAAGGGAGUUGGGCAGCCUCUGUUCCUGUUUGGCUCUGUCCUUGAAGAAAGUGAUAAGAAGUGCACAGAUUUUGGAAUUAAACAGACCAUGGUUUGAAGUCUGGAUCUUCCAGUUGUAACCAGGUGGCAUUGGGGCCUAUGGUUCAUCCUGCAAUAUCAGAGAAUACACAACUGUUGGAAGCUCAUUUGUGCAGAAGCACUAGUUAGACCAAGUCCCAGGAUGGUGGGGACUUGAACUGCCUCAUGCACAUUGUACCCAAGAGCCUGGCCCAUGAAGGUGAAUCAGUGGAUACUUGAAUAAAAAGAAGAAUAUGCGCUGAAGUUUUCUUUGAGGACAUUUUUUUUUCUUUCCAUAGUUUUGAGCAUCUCUGAUGUUUUGAGAUUUCU